UGCUUGGGAUUCUCUCUCUCUCUUCCUCUUUGCCCCUCCGCCCUGCGUGAAGGCUUGCUUGCUCUCUCUCAAAAUCAAGAAAUAAAAAAUAAAAACUUAAAAAAAAAUUUUUUUUCACGUUGCAGCUGGGUAUACAUACUUAAGGAUUCGGGUAUCUUACGAUAAUAAAAUCAUGAUUUUUCCUUUUCCGUUGGCAAAAGCUUUCUGCUUUCAAUUCUUUUGAGUUCUGUUUCUUUAACUGUAUCUGCUGUGCACUUCUUAUUGUUAGGGCUGGAAGCCUGGGAACUACAUUUCCCAGUGUCCCUUAUGGGUAGUUUUCAAGCCCUAUGCUGAUGACCAGAAGUAUUGGCAGGAGAUUUUGAAGGGAGAAGAGAGGUAGAAGCCACGUUAUUGCUCUUCGGUCAGGAGCGGGCAGGUGUGUGGGUGUCAGGAGAUAUCAGAGUUUGUAUAGAAUCCCACUCUCCUGUGAAUCAUCCUCCUCAGAGCUGGAAGCAGAUGACAUCACCAGCAGCAGUUUCCUUUAGUCCCUGAAACUUCCUGUCUCUUGAAGCUAGCCACAUAUUUGAAAGCUUGUGGCUUUCCCCACCCUUGCCUCUUCCAGCCCUCCCAGGAAUUUUGUACGCAUCCAAUUCCUUGUAUUAAAUUUUUCCUCCCGCUUGAAAUACCUAGAACAGCUUCUAUUUUUCUUUACUAAAUCCUAUUAUGUAAACCAGAACCUCAUUUUGUAAUGAAAGUUGAAAUAAAGUAGAAUUUCUCUUUACAUAAUUUUUGUUUUCAAUUUGUCCCCGAAUAGCUACAGACUUCUUUCAUAAAAUUUUGAACACAAACCCACCUACAUAACACAGCGUGGAGGGAGAUGCCUAUGGAAGAUUGCAAAAUGGCAAGAAUGCAAGGUGUAGUUGGGAUUCUAGGGCUGGAGGAACUAAGCCAUUCUUUCCCCAAUCAAUGAAAGGAAGUUUUACAGGUAGGGUCACGGUCACCAGAUUUAGCAAACAACAGGACACCUAGCUAAAUUAGAAUUUCAGAUCAACGAUGUGGUAGGCGGAGCAAAGUCUACCCCCAAAAAGGUACAUCUCCUAAUCCUUGGAACCUGUGAGUGUAUUACAUGGCAGAAAGACUCUCAGCUGUGAUUAAGCUUAGGCGCCUGGAAAGAGGAGUCUUCUCCAUCAUGCAGCUGGGCCCAAUUAUUCAGAGUCUUUAAAAGUGGAGAGACUGCCAGCUGUAAUCAGAGCGAGCUAUGACUAAGGGAGGCCGGGGCUGCAACGUUGCUGCCUUUCAAGAUGGAGGAAGAAGGCGGCUUGCCAAGGAAUGUGGGUGGGCCUCAGUUGCUGGAAAAGUUUUCAGGAGGAUCCAAGACCACCUCGUUUUGGAGCCUUGUUGCCCAUGUUCUCUCAGCCAGAUACUGUCUUCCCACAACUCAAGGAAUCAACGGCCACACAGGGACACCAGGCUAAAAGAUCAGGACCAAAGGACAACAACUUUGUCCCCUUCACACAUCUGCUUGCUUGCUUGCCUGCUUCUCGGAUGUGGUCAACUUCCCUCCAGUCCGGGGUUUCUGAACCUUGGCGCUACUGACAUUUUGGACUGGGCAAUUCUUGGAUCUGAGAGCUGUCCCGCGUGCUGUAGGAUGUUUAUCCUGGCCUCUACCCACUAGAUGCCAGUAAUACUGGGCCUCACCCCCAGCUGUGAUAACCAAAACAGUCUCCAGACGCUGCCAGACUGCCCCUGGUUCGGAAUCACUGAUCUAGUCUGUUCCCCUCCACAAAAAAUUGCUGACAAAACCCCUCUUUUUCCUGGUUUUUGAAACGAGAGGUGUGGACUUGACCUCCUCCCCAGCAGUGGACCUCGGCCAAGGAGGACCUCCGGGCAAGAUCUGUCCUGCACAUCUGCACAGCAGCGGCAGUGGGCUGCUUCUGGCCCACGUGGCACCUGCAGGGUGGCCCCUUGUAUUCAAAGCCCAGCACCCCGUGGGCAAAACUGAGGGCUGUCAGAUUGUGAAUAAAAAUAAAAACGUGGAAUGCCGGGUAAAA